UCAAACUUGGUCAUUUAGAGGAAGUAAAAGUCGUAACAAGGUUUCCGUAGGUGAACCUGCGGAAGGAUCAUCACUGAUUCGGGGAGGCGGGAGGUGUGGGAUACCACCACGCCUGCUGCGUCCCCAACCAAUCUUGUGUGAACCGUAACGAGCACACUACGUGUGAAGAGAAGGUUGGCGGCACGGGGGAGAAUACACCUCCACCGCCGCCGCCACCAUCACACGAGUAUAUUAUCUCCUUACAAUCUUGCCUAACAUUACACACACUAAAUUACACACAACUUUUAACAAUGGAUCUCUUGGCUCUCGCAUCGAUGAAGAACGCAGC
rnacentral:misc_RNA from 1 species